GCACGAAAUGCAUGCAGUGAAAAGAUUCCUUCAACCCAGUCCAGCUACCCAGGUCCCUUCCUCAAAGUCAACCAACCUCAUGAGUUUCCUAAAUGCCCUUCCAGAGAGCUGUGUCGGGCUGCACAGUCAGGAAGCGCUGCGUUUUAUUUUAAAAGCCCCUAUGGAUGGACAUUCGGUGUUUUUUUCUGAUCUUUAGCUCUUACGAUAAACGUUGCAGUAAAUUACCUUAUACGCAGGUAAUAUUCUCUGCGUGCAAAUACACCUACAGAAAAAGAAUGGCCAGCAGUAGAAUCACUGAGGCAAAGGAUAUAUGAGCCUUCAACGAGUCCCUGGAAUUCUCCGGGUUUUGUCAUCAAAAAGAAAUCUGGAAAAUGGAGAAUGCCGACUGAUCUCCGAGCCAUAAAGAAAAUCAUACAACCUUGA